rnacentral:rRNA from 1 species
CCUACGGGAGGCUGCAGUGGGGGAUAUUGCACAAUGGGGGGAACCCUGAUGCAGCGACGCCGCGUGAGUGAAGGAGUGCUUCGGCAUGUAAAGCUCUAUCGGCAGGGAAGAAGCAAGACGGUACCUGACUUAGAAGCCCCGGCUAACUACGUGCCAGCAGCCGCGGUAAAACGUAGGGGCCGAGCGAUAUCCGGAUUCACUGGGUGUAAAGGGAGCGUAGACGGCUAUGCAAGCCAGGGGUGAAAGCCCGGGGCCCAACCCCGGGACUGCCCUUGAAACUGCAUGGCUGGAGUGCGGGAGGGGCAGGCGGAAUGCCUGGUGUAGCGGUGAAAUGCGUAGAUAUCAGGAGGAACACCGACGGCGAAGGCGGCCUGCUGGACCGCGACUGACGUUGAGGCUCGAAAGCGUGGGGAGCGAACAGGAUUAGAUACCCGGGUAGUC